rnacentral:rRNA from 1 species
UACGGGGGGGGGCAAGCGUUGUUCGGAAUCACUGGGCUUAAAGGGCGCGUAGGCGGUCGAUCAAGUCAGGGGUGAAAUCCUGCAGCUUAACUGUAGAAGUGCCUUUGAUACUGGUCGUCUCGAGGGAGGUAGGGGUGUGUGGAACUUCCAGUGGAGCGGUGAAAUGCGUUGAUAUUGGAAGGAACGCCGGAGGCGAAAGCGACGCACUGGACCUCUUCUGACGCUGAGGCGCGAAAGCUAGGGGAGCAAACGGG